rnacentral:rRNA from 1 species
GAUUGAACGCUGGCGGCAGGCCUAACACAUGCAAGUCGAACGGUAGCACAGAGAGCUUGCUCUUGGGUGACGAGUGGCGGACGGGUGAGUAAUGUCUGGGAAACUGCCCGAUGGAGGGGGAUAACUACUGGAAACGGUAGCUAAUACCGCAUAACGUCUUCGGACCAAAGUGGGGGACCUUCGGGCCUCACACCAUCGGAUGUGCCCAGAUGGGAUUAGCUAGUAGGUGGGGUAAUGGCUCACCUAGGCGACGAUCCCUAGCUGGUCUGAGAGGAUGACCAGCCACACUGGAACUGAGACACGGUCCAGACUCCUACGGGAGGCAGCAGUGGGGAAUAUUGCACAAUGGGCGCAAGCCUGAUGCAGCCAUGCCGCGUGUAUGAAGAAGGCCUUCGGGUUGUAAAGUACUUUCAGCGGGGAGGAAGGCGAUGGAGUUAAUAGCUUCAUCGAUUGACGUUACCCGCAGAAGAAGCACCGGCUAACUCCGUGCCAGCAGCCGCGGUAAUACGGAGGGUGCAAGCGUUAAUCGGAAUUACUGGGCGUAAAGCGCACGCAGGCGGUCUGUCAAGUCGGAUGUGAAAUCCCCGGGCUUAACCUGGGAACUGCAUUCGAAACUGGCAGGCUAGAGUCUUGUAGAGGGGGGUAGAAUUCCAGGUGUAGCGGUGAAAUGCGUAGAGAUCUGGAGGAAUACCGGUGGCGAAGGCGGCCCCCUGGACAAAGACUGACGCUCAGGUGCGAAAGCGUGGGGAGCAAACAGGAUUAGAUACCCUGGUAGUCCACGCCGUAAACGAUGUCGACUUGGAGGUCGUGCCCUGAGGCGUGGCUUCCGGAGCUAACGCGUUAAGUCGACCGCCUGGGGAGUACGGCCGCAAGGUUAAAACUCAAAUGAAUUGACGGGGGCCCGCACAAGCGGUGGAGCAUGUGGUUUAAUUCGAUGCAACGCGAAGAACCUUACCUACUCUUGACAUCCAGCGAAUUCGGUAGAGAUACCUUAGUGCCUUCGGGAACGCUGAGACAGGUGCUGCAUGGCUGUCGUCAGCUCGUGUUGUGAAAUGUUGGGUUAAGUCCCGCAACGAGCGCAACCCUUAUCCUUUGUUGCCAGCGGUCCGGCCGGGAACUCAAAGGAGACUGCCAGUGAUAAACUGGAGGAAGGUGGGGAUGACGUCAAGUCAUCAUGGCCCUUACGAGUAGGGCUACACACGUGCUACAAUGGCGCAUACAAAGAGAAGCGACCUCGCGAGAGCAAGCGGACCUCAUAAAGUGCGUCGUAGUCCGGAUUGGAGUCUGCAACUCGACUCCAUGAAGUCGGAAUCGCUAGUAAUCGUAGAUCAGAAUGCUACGGUGAAUACGUUCCCGGGCCUUGUACUCACCG